rnacentral:rRNA from 1 species
GGGCCAGACUCCUACGGGAGGCAGCAGUGAGGAAUAUUGGUCAAUGGGCGGGAGCCUGAACCAGCCAAGCCGCGUGAGGGAAGAAGGUACAGCGUAUCGUAAACCUCUUUUGUCAGGGAACAAAGGCGGGGACUAGUCCCCGGAUGAGGGUACCUGAAGAAAAAGCAUCGGCUAACUCCGUGCCGGCAGCCGCGGUAAUACGGAGGAUGCGAGCGUUAUCCGGAUUUAUUGGGUUUAAAGGGUGCGUAGGGGGGCUGUUAAGUCAGCGGUAAAAUGUCGGGGCUCAACCCCGGCCUGCCGUUGAAACUGGCGGGCUGGAGUUGGAGAGAAGUACGCGGAAUGCGCGGUGUAGCGGUGAAAUGCUUAGAUAUCGCGCAGAACCCCGAUUGCGAAGGCAGCGUACCGGCUCCACACUGACGCUGAGGCACGAAAGCGUGGGUAUCGAACAGGAUUAGAUACCCUAGUA